rnacentral:rRNA from 1 species
CGGACGGGUGAGUAACGCGUGAGAAUCUGCCCUCAGGAGGGGGAUAACGGUUGGAAACGACCGCUAAUACCCCAUAUGCCUACUGGUGAAAUGAAUUUCGCCUGAGGAUGAGCUCGCGUCUGAUUAGCUAGUUGGUGUGGUAAUGGCUCACCAAGGCUUCGAUCAGUAGCUGGUCUGAGAGGAUGAUCAGCCACACUGGGACUGAGACACGGCCCAGACUCCUACGGGAGGCAGCAGUGGGGAAUUUUCCGCAAUGGGCGAAAGCCUGACGGAGCAACGCCGCGUGAGGGACGAAGGCCUCUGGGCUGUAAACCUCUUUUCUCAAGGAAGAAGAUAUGACGGUACUUGAGGAAUAAGCCACGGCUAAUUCCGUGCCAGCAGCCGCGGUAAUACGGGAGUGGCAAGCGUUAUCCGGAAUUAUUGGGCGUAAGGCGUUCGCAGGCGGCUUUUCAAGUCUGCUGUUAAAGCGUGGAGCUUAACUCCAUCAUGGCAGUGGAAACUGAAAGGCUUGAGUAUGGUAGGGGCAGAGGGAAUUCCCGGUGUAGCGGUGAAAUGCGUAGAUAUCGGGAAGAACACCAGUGGCGAAGGCGCUCUGCUGGGCCAUUACUGACGCUCAUGGACGAAAGCCAGGGGAGCGAAUGGGAUUAGAUACCCCAGUAGUC